CUGCAGGAGUUGAAAGUAGAUGAUCAUUGUGGUCCUUUUCAACCCACGCCAUUCUAUGAUUCUGUGAUUCUUCACUUUCAGCCUUGAACUUUCAAUAAGAAAAGUCCUCGAAUUUUAAUUUCUGUGUGCCAGAAAAUAGAACUUUCUUUUUCCUCUGAAAAACUUCUGGUUAUUCUUAGUUAAAGUAUUCUGAUAUUUUUAAACCUUGCUUCUGUUUAGUUGGUGAAGUUAUAUUAUCUGAAGGAUAUUAAGUUUUUAUAUUUUUUUUCAGGAUACUUGCACACAUAGCAUAUGUUGAACUUUCCUAACGUAUGUGGUUCAUGUCGUGGAAUUAAAUUUGACUGUUGUUGUUGUUUUAACACAAUCAAACACAGUAUUCAUGAAUGUGACGGCAUCUGUUGGAAAAUCAGUCUUAAUGAAAAUUAAAUCCUGCUGAUACAAAUUUUAGAUAAUUUCUAAAAAAAAUAAAAAAUAAAAAAAAAAAUUGCCAGUAAAGUUGAGUGAUAUUCAGUUUAAAAUAGCAAAAUGCAAGGCCAUACAUGAAAAGCAAGGAAGCAAAAACUGUAGCCUGUAUUGACAAAGAUAGUGGCAGUACCCCAUGGUACUGUAUGUAGUGGGCAGAGCAAAAAUGGCUGAUAUGUUCGAUACUUGUAGAACAGCAAAUUUUAUCAUGUAAUAUCAAAUAGAAUCUAUGAAGGUAGUGGUAGUAGAAAGAUGGUGGUGUUGCCAAGGAAUGGGUACGUGCAGAACGUGUUGCCAGAAUAUAUCUGUUCUUGUUAGUACUUCAGAAGAAUUUGGGAAAAAAAUCUGCUAUCAGGACUAUUCUUAUGCAUUGUAAAUGUACUUUAUUUUGAAAAGUAUUUUAAAAAUCUGACUCAAUUAUUUAAUCCAAUGGAAUUCAAAGAGUUGAUAAGCAAGAAGGUAAGAUUUUCAUUGUUUCAGAAUGUGAACGGUUAAUAAUAUAUUGUUCAACUAAUAUAAAGAAUUAAUAUCUUUUUUAUGUGUUACAAUUGAGUAGUUUCUCAGUAUUUUUAUAGUCACAUCUACUGAGAUUGGUACUUGACUGGGAAAAACGUGUGUCAGAAAUGUGAGCUUUGGUAUAGAUGUGUUGUGGUAUUUGGCAGACAGACGAUUGGAAGAGAGGGAUCUUACUGUGAAUGGAAAAUAUAGUUAUUUCUGUACACUCUAUUAACAAAUGGCCAUCCUCUAAUAGCAAGUGUUGUAUAAGGCUUUGCAUGCUGCUUUCUGGACUAACAUUUCUAUUAUUAUUACUGGUUCACGUAGUAAUUUCCUGUAAUGCUGCUGUUUAUAUUGGAAAAGACAUGGUAUUAAUUAGAAAGUUUAUACUCUAAGGAGUGUCACAGCACCACGAGGAAGGAAGUGUGAGGAUGUUUGCCCUGAGGUAAGGAGACACGUGGAGGUGAGCUGGUUGUGACAAGCAGUCCUAGAUGCAGAUUGUUGGUGAUUUAAUUUGAUUAAUUAAUCUCAGUUUUGACUCAUUAUUUGGAGUAUCAGUGUACAAAAGCACUUGUGACAAAUGAGAAGAACUUGAAGAACCAGAGAAUAACAAAACCCAUAAGCCAGUUUGUCACGGUCCUGCCUAAUGUCUUUAGCACAAGUAUUAAAGAGUUCAGACCUGCUUUUCUCAUGUCUCCAAAAUCUCUCCGGUAAGGGCUGUUUUCACAGGAUCACAAAUUCUGUUUGAUGGAUUGUGGGUCUUUAUAGCCACACAUGUAUUUUUUUGAUGUGGAAGUUGUUUAAUAGCAAUUAGUAUGCUAUUACAAGUCUUUCAGAAUUAAAUAUGGAGGCCUUUUUACACCUGACAUUUAGUACAAUUAAAGCAGGAUUUUUGGGGAUUAAUUAAAACUGCAGUGUUGUAAUAAACAUUGCAAAAAAAUUGAGUGAAAGUAGAAUGGCAUCUGCCCUUCCUCUCCUCACAGACCUUGCGGAAGAUACAAGAAAAAAAAGCAUUUAAUCAGAUUGUAAGAAGGAAGCUGUGAAAUCGAACACCUUAGAGGAAAAAAAAAACACACUUUAUGGCGAUGUUAAGUAAGUUAACUUGACAUUUUUAAUAAAAUUUCACACACAUGUAUGCAAUAUUUUAUCACUUUUUUCAUUCACUUUUUCCUGCUUUAGGAUAAGCAGCAGUGGUGAGAUAGCUCCAUGUCUCUACAUGGAGGCAUGAUUUCUAAUGCACAAUCAGCAGUAAUGGGGGAAGACACGUGCUUUUAAAUCCAGCUCUGUAUAUUCUUACCUUUGUGUACUUUGUGGUUAGAACUGUGUCUGUCUGUGAAUGGAAUGUAUGCUAGUCUCAAGAUUAAUGAGAAGAAAAGGCUUUUCUUUUUUUCAGAACUCAGUAACCGUCAAUCUGACUUUAUUAAACAUAGCAAACUACCUAAGAAGCAUUAAGUGCAGAUGACAAACUGUGCUUUCUGAUACCUUUCACAUCUCCAAAACAGAAACACUGGAAUACUUGUUCGUGGAAGUGUAAGCUAAAAAAAAAACCAGACAAAACAAACAGCACAUGAUUGGUUGGUGACAUUUCUUACUAUUCUCAUGUUUUUAACAAAUAAAAUAUUUUCAUUAUCUCUUAUUCUUUAGGAAAAUCACAUCUUUGCUAGUGUUUUUAAAGCCUAGUUUGAUUGCCUACAGUGUUCAGACAAAAUCUAGAGAUAUUAUUAAAUUUACAAUGUUUGUGAACUUAAAUUCAACACUUUGUUUAUAGCUGUCUCUUUAAAGAGUAAAACUGGAGAUACAGCUCCCUCUGUCUGCCCUGGGAAUACCUAUGCUUUGUUUUUUUUGUAGUGCACCUACGAAUGAGCAGAGUAACAGCACAUUCAACAUGGGGAUACAAGGCAAAAAGAUGUGGAGAAGUGUUGUUUCUUUUACAGGUAUAGUGGAUACUGAAGAAAAGUGAAGAGCGUUAUUUGUGAAGUGAGGCAUUGCUCAACACAUGAAAAACGGCCCAGGUAUAAUUCAAAGUCCUAGAUAAAUUCUGUGGUCUCUGAACAACAUUCUUAUCAUCGUCCCAACACAAAGUUCAAACACUUUGACUGCUCUGUGCUCUACACUGGGAAACAGGACAGAGCAGAAAAUGGUGUAUUCUCAACUAACGGCCUCUUCAGCUGUUCAGGAAGGAUUAUGGAGAGAAGUUGACAAGCAGCAGCUGGGAAAAAGUCAUGAAGUUUCAAAGAACCUACUGAUGCCAUCUGAAAUCUAAGAACAAGUUGUUGCUGAGUUCAGAAGAUACUGAAUCCUAAAAUGCUGAAAGAAGAAACCUGAACAGGAGAGUCCAGCUUUCUCAGUUUUGCCAAAGAUAUCUCAGAUUAAAGCAUUGACAUUGCACGUGUCUCUUGGGCAUGAAAGCCUACAAAUCCUCUGGCUGACCCACAGCUCACACAUGUUGGUAAUUAAAGCAUCAUUGAUUUGAUGCACCUGGCUGAACUCUCGAGUGGAACACAGAAAGUGGGAAGUUACUCUGCAUGGUACUUUACUUCAAAAGAGAAGUUGCAA